rnacentral:rRNA from 1 species
UACGGGGGGGGCAAGCGUUGUUCGGAGUUACUGGGCGUAAAGGGCUCGUAGGCGGCCAACUAAGUCGGACGUGAAAUCCCCAGGCUCAACCUGGGAACUGCGUCUGAUACUGGAUGGCUUGAAUCCGGGAGAGGGAUGCAGAAUUCCAGGUGUAGCGGUGAAAUGCGUAGAUAUCUGGAGGAAUACCGGUGGCGAAGGCGGCAUCCUGGACCGGCAUUGACGCUGAGGAGCGAAAGCCAGGGGAGCAAACGGG